rnacentral:rRNA from 1 species
AGAGGAAUAUUGCGCAAUGGGGGCAACCCUGACGCAGCAACGCCGCGUGAGUGAGGAAGGUUUUCGGACCGUAAAGCUCUGUCGAGCGGGAAGAAAUGCAUGGUGGCUAAUAUCCAUCAUGCUUGACGGUACCGCUAAAGGAAGCACCGGCUAACUCCGUGCCAGCAGCCGCGGUAAUACGGGGGGUGCGAGCGUUGUUCGGAAUUAUUGGGCGUAAAGAGCGUGUAGGCGGCCGAAUAAGUCAGAUGUGAAAUCCCUGGGCUUAACCCGUGACGUGCAUUUGAAACUAGUCGGCUGGAGUAGGGGAGAGGAAAGUGGAAUUCCUGGUGUAGAGGUGAAAUUCGUAGAUAUCAGGAGGAACACCGGUGGCGAAGGCGACUUUCUGGCCCUAUACUGACGCUGAGACGCGAGAGCGUGGGUAGCAAACAG